GAAUCUUGCGCAAUGGAGGAAACUCUGACGCAGCCACGCCGCGUGCCGGAAGACGGCCCUAUGGGUUGUAAACGGCUUUUAUUUGGGAAGAACCUGGGAGAUUUGUCUCCCACUGACGGUACCAAUUGAACAACCCCCGGCUAACCCCGGGCCAGCAGCCGCGGUAAUACGGAGGGUGCAAGCGUUGUCCGGAAUCAUUGGGUGUAAAGGGUGCGCAGGCUGGCGCCUAAGUCGGAGGUGAAAUCUUGCCGCUUAACGGUAAAAUUGCCCCCGAUACUGGGUGUCUUGAAUCUGACAGAGGUCGGUGGAAUUCGUGGUGUAGCGGUGAAAUGCAUAGAUAUCACGAAGAACAUCAGUGGCGAAGGCGGCCGGCUGGGUCAGUAUUGACGCUGAGGCACGAGAGCGUGGGGAGCGAACAGG
rnacentral:rRNA from 1 species